rnacentral:rRNA from 1 species
UACGAGGGGGGCUAGUGUUGUUCGGAAUCACUGGGCGUAAAGGGCGCGUAGGCGGGCGCCUAAGUUGGGUGUUUAAUUCCGGGGCCCAACCCCGGGCGUGCACUCAAAACUGGGUUUCUUGAAUAGGGGAGAGGUCGGUGGAAUUGGAGGUGUAGCGGUGGAAUGCGUAGAGAUCUCCAAGAACACCCGUUGCGAAGGCGGCCGACUGGACCCAUAUUGACGCUGAGGCUCGAAAGCAUGGGGAGCAAACAGG